rnacentral:pre_miRNA from 2 species
AUAAAAACCACCCUGAGAUCUUGUUAAAAUGCAGAUUCUAAUUCAGUAGGUCUGGGAUAAAGUCUGAGAUUCUGCAUUUCUAACAAGUUUCCAGAUUAUCCUGAU